GUCACCCCCUCACUCUAGUGACAGAGUGAGGGACGGUGUGACUAGUGACAGAGAGAGGGAGGGGGUGACUAGUGACAGUGACCACCUCCUUCACUCUGUUAUUGUGUCACCCCCUCCCUCACUCUGUCAUUGUGUCACCCCCUUCCUCACUCUGUCACUAGUCACCCACUCCCUCCCUCACUCUGUCACUAGUCACCCCCUCUCUCACUCUGUCACUAGUCAUCCCCUUCCUUACUGUCACUAGUCCCACCCUCCCUCACUCUGUCACUAGAGUGAGGGGGUGAC